CGCUGGCGGCAGGCCUAACACAUGCAAGUCGAGCGGAUGAGUGGAGCUUGCUCCAUGAUUCAGCGGCGGACGGGUGAGUAAUGCCUAGGAAUCUGCCUAUUAGUGGGGGACAACGUUUCGAAAGGAACGCUAAUACCGCAUACGUCCUACGGGAGAAAGCAGGGGACCUUCGGGCCUUGCGCUAAUAGAUGAGCCUAGGUCGGAUUAGCUAGUUGGUGAGGUAAUGGCUCACCAAGGCGACGAUCCGUAACUGGUCUGAGAGGAUGAUCAGUCACACUGGAACUGAGACACGGUCCAGACUCCUACGGGAGGCAGCAGUGGGGAAUAUUGGACAAUGGGCGAAAGCCUGAUCCAGCCAUGCCGCGUGUGUGAAGAAGGUCUUCGGAUUGUAAAGCACUUUAAGUUGGGAGGAAGGGCAGUAAGUUAAUACCUUGCUGUUUUGA
rnacentral:rRNA from 2 species